rnacentral:tRNA from 1 species
GGGCGAUUAGCUCAGUUGGUAGAGCAGUUGACUCUUAAUCAAUUGGUCCCGGGUUCGAGUCCCUGAUCGCCCACCA